GGGAAUCUACCCUGAUCUGCGGGAUAGCUCCGGGAAACUGGAAUUAAUACCGCAUGUGCCCUGAGGGGCAAAGAUUUAUCGGUUCAGGAUGAGCCCGCGUCCGAUUAGCUAGUUGGUGGGGUAAAGGCCUACCAAGGCGACGAUCGGUAGCUGGUCUAAGAGGAUGAUCAGCCACAUUGGGACUGAGACACGGCCCAAACUCCUACGGGAGGCAGCAGUGGGGAAUAUUGGACAAUGGGCGCAAGCCUGAUCCAGCCAUGCCGCGUGAGUGAUGAAGGCCCUAGGGUUGUAAAGCUCUUUCAGUGGGGACGAUAAUGACGGUACCCACAGAAGAAGCCCCGGCUAACUUCGUGCCAGCAGCCGCGGUAAUACGAAGGGGGCUAGCGUUGUUCGGAAUUACUGGGCGUAAAGCGCACGUAGGCGGACAUUUAAGUCAGGGGUGAAAUCCCGGGGCUCAACCCCGGAACGGCCUUUGAUACUGGGUGUCUUGAGUUCGGAAGAGGUGAGUGGAAUUGCGAGU
rnacentral:rRNA from 1 species